ensembl:rRNA 5S_rRNA 5S ribosomal RNA
GCUUACGGCCAUAGCAACCUGGCUAUGCCCGAUCUCGUCUGCUCUCGGAAGCUAAGCAGGUUUGGGCCUGGUUAGUACUUGGAUGGGAGACCGCCUGGGAAUACCAGGUGCUGUAAGCU